rnacentral:rRNA from 1 species
GUGGCGGGCGGGACUACGAUGCAAGUCGAACGGCAGCACAGAGGAGCUUGCUCCUUGGGUGGCGAGUGGCGGACGGGUGAGGAAUACGUCGGAAUCUGCCUAUUUGUGGGGGAUAACGUAGGGAAACUUACGCUAAUACCGCAUACGACCUACGGGUGAAAGCGGAGGACCUUCGGGCUUCGCGCAGAUAGAUGAGCCGACGUCGGAUUAGCUAGUUGGCGGGGUAAAGGCCCACCAAGGCGACGAUCCGUAGCUGGUCUGAGAGGAUGAUCAGCCACACUGGAACUGAGACACGGUCCAGACUCCUACGGGAGGCAGCAGUGGGGAAUAUUGGACAAUGGGCGCAAGCCUGAUCCAGCCAUGCCGCGUGUGUGAAGAAGGCCUUCGGGUUGUAAAGCACUUUUGUCCGGAAAGAAAAGCUUCGGGUUAAUACCCCGAGGUCAUGACGGUACCGGAAGAAUAAGCACCGGCUAACUUCGUGCCAGCAGCCGCGGUAAUACGAAGGGUGCAAGCGUUACUCGGAAUUACUGGGCGUAAAGCGUGCGUAGGUGGUUUGUUAAGUCUGAUGUGAAAGCCCUGGGCUCAACCUGGGAAUGGCAUUGGAAACUGGCUUACUAGAGUGCGGUAGAGGGUAGUGGAAUUCCCGGUGUAGCAGUGAAAUGCGUAGAUAUCGGGAGGAACAUCUGUGGCGAAGGCGACUACCUGGACCAGCACUGACACUGAGGCACGAAAGCGUGGGGGAGCAAACAGGAUUAGAUACCCUGGUAGUCCACGCCCUAAACGAUGCGAACUGUAUGUUGGGAGCAACUUGGCUCUCAGUAUCGAAGCUAACGCGUUAAGUUCGCCGCCCUGGGAAGUACGGUCGCAGGACUGGAAACUCAAAGGGAAUUGAACGGGGGCCCCGCCACAAGCCGGUGGGGAGUAAUGGUGUGGAUUAAAUUCCGAAAGUGCCCUA